rnacentral:lncRNA from 1 species
CCUCACUGCCUUGCUAAUUAGAACCUAAAAGAUUGUUCACCAAAACACUAUUGUGAUGAGUAACUAAUGGAUGAUGGAAACAAUUAAUUGGAUUAAUUAUGUGUUGUGAUUAAUUUAGAAAAGUCUAAAGAAAUCAUAAAAGCGAUAAAGAUUGUUUUGGGCUUAAAGAAACGUUCGGGUUUAAUUGGGCCCAUUGGGCCUAAACCCAUUGGGCUUUUAUU